GACGAACGCUGGCGGCGUGCCUAAUACAUGCAAGUAGAACGCUGACGAGAGGAGCUUGCUCUUCUUGGAUGAGUUGCUAACGGGUGAGUAACGCGUAGGUCACCUGCCUUUUAUCGGGGGAUAACUAUUGGAAACGAUAGCUACUACCGCAUAAUAAUGCAUAACACAUGUCAUAUAUUUUAAUCGGGCAAUUGCUCCACUACAAGAUGGACCUGCGUUGUAUUAGCUAGUAGGUGAGGUAAUGGCCCACCUAGGCGUCGGUACAUAGCCUGCCUGGGAGGGUGAACGGGCACACUUGGACUGAGGAAAGGGCCCGGACUCUUAGGGGGGCAGCCGUAGGGGAAUAUUGGCAAUUGGGGGAAAGCUGAACGAGCAAAGACGGGUGAGGUAAGAAGGGUCUCCGAGUGUAAAGGCCUGUUGUAAGGGAAAGAAGAGCGUGAGAGUGGAAAGCUGACGUUGUGACGGUACCUUAACAGAAAGGAACGGCUAACUACGUG
rnacentral:rRNA from 1 species